CAGCAGUAGCCGCGGGAAUACGUAGGUCCCGAGCGUUGUUCGGAAUCACUGGGCGUAAAGGGAGCGUAGGCGGCGUGGUAAGUCAGAUGUGAAAUCCCGGGGCUCAACCCCGGAACUGCAUCCGAUACUGCCAUGCUAGAGGAUUGGAGAGGUAGCUGGAAUUCUUGGUGUAGCAGUGAAAUGCGUAGAGAUCAAGAGGAACACUCGUGGCGAAAGCGAGCUACUGGACAAUAACUGACGCUGAGGCUCGAAGGCCAGGGUAGCGAAAGGGAUUAGAUACCCGAGUAGUCCCUGUCUCUUAUAC
rnacentral:rRNA from 1 species